rnacentral:rRNA from 1 species
GACGAACGCUGGCGGCGUGCUUAACACAUGCAAGUCGAACGGAAAGGCCCUGCUUUUGUGGGGUGCUCGAGUGGCGAACGUGUGAGUAACACGUGAGUAACCUGCCCUUUACUUUGGGAUAACUUCAGGAAACUGGGGCUAAUACCGGAUAGGAGCUCCUGCUGCAUGGUGGUGGUUGGAAAGUUUCGGCGGUUGGGGAUGGACUCGCGGCUUAUCAGCUUGUUGGUGGGGUAGUGGCUUACCAAGGCUUUGACGGGUAGCCGGCCUGAGAGGGUGACCGGCCACAUUGGGACUGAGAUACGGCCCAGACUCCAACGGGAGGCAGCAGUGGGGAAUAUUGCACAAUGGGCGGAAGCAUGAUGCAGAAAAGCCGCGUGCGGGAUGACGGGCUUCGGGUUGUAAACAGCUGUCGCAUGUGACGAAGCGGGAGUGACGGUAAUGGGUAAAGAAGCACCGGCUAACUACGUG